GGGGUAGAGGCGCAAAAUUUAACAGUCUUUAGCUGAGCUUGAGAGUGCUAUGAAGCUAUUGAGAAGGAGAUUUUGCCGAAGCUUGUAAUAUAUCUCGAUAUUAUUUGCUGGGUCUGUAAUUAAUAGUUACAGGACUGUCUUAAUAAACUUCCCGGUU
rnacentral:ncRNA from 1 species